rnacentral:rRNA from 1 species
UACGGGGGGGGCAAGCGUUGUUCGGAAUUACUGGGCGUAAAGGGCUCGUAGGCGGCCACCUAAGUCAGACGUGAAAUCCCUCGGCUUAACCGGGGAACUGCGUCUGAUACUGGAUGGCUUGAGUUUGGGAGAGGGAUGCGGAAUUCCAGGUGUAGCGGUGAAAUGCGUAGAUAUCUGGAGGAACACCAAUGGCGAAGGCAGCUCUCUGGGACGGUACUGACGCUGAGACGCGAAAGCGUGGGGAGCGAACAGG